rnacentral:snoRNA from 1 species
ACGACCUUACUUGAACAGGAUCUGUUCUAUAGGCUCGUACCACUGUAUCCUUGAGUUCUAAGGAGACAGAAAACCAAGUCUGGUUGAUGAGACAUGGCCAUUGGACCCCAGAGCGUGAUUAACAGCUCCCAUGGCCCUCGGGUUAUGGUGUCGUAGAUGAUCGUUCUCAGCCCCUAACCAUGGGUGCUGGGAUGGUCUAAUGGCUGUCUGACAGACU